rnacentral:sRNA from 1 species
CAUUACCGAGUCGUCGACACGAGUUGUUGCUGGCCCCUCAAACGGGGGCAUGUGCACACUCUGUUAACACAUCCACUCACACCUGUGCACACUCCGUAGUUCUAUGGUCUGGGGGACGUGCCGUCUUCCUCCUGUAGUUCUACGUCUUUACACAUACACCGUAGCAAAGUCUUAUGGAAUGUUUACCGCGUCUAACGCAAUACAAUACAACUUUCAGCAACGGAUCUCUUGGCUCUCGCAUCGAUGAAGAACGCAGCGAAAUGCGAUAAGUAAUGUGAAUUGCAGAAUUCAGUGAAUCAUCGAAUCUUUGAACGCACCUUGCGCCCCUUGGCUAUUCCGAGGGGCAUGCCUGUUUGAGUAUCAUGAACACCUCAACUCUUGUGGUUCGCCAUGAAGAGCUUGGACUUGGGGGCUUGCUGGUGNACAGCCAGCUCCUCUCAAAUGAAUUAGCCUGCCAGUUUUUGGUGGCGUCACAGGUGUGAUAACUAUCUACNCUCGUGGUCGCCCGCCAGGUAACCUUUGGUGACGGAGGUUCGCUGGAGCUUAUAAACGUCUUUCCUUGGUAAAGACAGCUUUUGAACGUUCGAUCUCAAAUCAGGUAGGACUACCCGCUGAACUUAAGCAUAUCAAUAAGCGGAGGA